AAAGAGAAAGAGGAAGAGAAAAGAAAGAAGAGGAAAAAGGGGAAACACUUGCAAGAAGAAAGAAGAAGCUUGAAUCAUCAAGAUUCCAUCUCAAAUCUCUCAUCAUAUUCAUCUACCAAGGUGGGUUCUAGGUUGAGUUAGCAUUCGGGGAAAUUUCAUAUGAAUGGGGUUAGAGUUUAUGUGUAGUUGCUUAAUCAUGAAAUUAUUGUUAAUACAUGAUGAUUUUAUUGUUUUUCAUGCUACUAUGU
rnacentral:lncRNA from 1 species